GCUCCCUUAGUUUAGUGGUAGAACAUCGGAUUCGUAACCCGGUAACGCCAGUUCAAUUCUGGCAGGGAGCA
rnacentral:tRNA from 1 species